UCCUUAACCCCCAAACCCCCUUCUUUCUCUCCGAGCAAAUGGGAAACAAAAAUUCCCUUAAAAAAAAUAGAACGUAACUCUUCUAUUCGAAUAACUAGGGUUUCCGAUCAUCAAUCCGUGCGGCGACGAAAAAGAUGUUUGGUGGCAGAGCGCCGCCGAAGAAGAGCGACAUCACCAGGGAUAUCGUGUUUGUGCUUCAGUUGAAGGAACACCCCAAAUUCAAAAGAAAGGCUGAAGACCUCUUUGUGGAGCACACCCUGUCCCUCACUGAGGCGGUGCUUUAUUUCCUGGUUCCUUAAUCUCAAUUCGUUCUCUCUCGUCAGGUUUGUCUUUUCUUUUUUCUUUUCUCCUUCCUCAACGAAAUAUAUAGCACUGAUAUAAACACAAAAUCAAAAUCAAAUAGUGAAUUUAUCCCUUGCUAUGAUAAUUUAAGUCUUGGUUGUGGCUCAGAGCAAAAAUCAAGAACUGCUAAAAAUGUUGUAAAUCAGUUGGAGGGAUCUGACUUGUAUUUUCUUGAUGUCACGAAUUGAUUAUUUUUUGGUAUAUCAUAGGAUUCUUAGCUUUCCUCCCACAUUUUGGAUGAAAGGUCAAAUUUUGAACUGGAUAGAAUAAGGCUAUUGUUUCACUAAUAAGCAACAUUAUGUCUAGUGAGGUUUCAAGCUAGGGGUGUUACAUUGGAGAAGGAAUACAGGUUGAUUUGUAGGCUUUGUACUUCGGUUUCGAAUUUGAAUUUUGCUAAUAUUUUUAACUGUCUAUUGAUAGAUAAUAUCUAAGGGUAGAUAGUGGUACCUUUUCUAAGCUAGUUUCAUUAUCACUAGUAUGCUUCCUGAUACAUGCUCUUCAUUAGUUCUUUUUUAGAAAUCAAAUGUAUUUCAUGGUUUUUUGCAAGUGGCUUGACCAAGACAAGAUUUUAUUCUUACAGGAUCCUAGAAUGCACAAUUCCACUAGUUAUACACUUAUACACUCCAUAUGCAUCCUUCCACAACCUUAGUAAAACAACAUACAGAAGGCUAGAAGUCUGUGUUUCCACUAUCCAGCAAAUGAUGUUGAGUGACAACCAUGAUCAUAUUACCAAAUUUAUCUUUUACACAUACUUGACAAAUUUUUAACAUAUGUAGAGACCAUCGUCGUUAUUAGAUCUGAUAGAUUUCCAACCAUGACCAGAGCUUUGUUUCACUACUAUACCAUUACACUUAAGGUGCACUGAGCAUACAACUUGCCUGUAGAUAGUAUUUCGUCUGCUCCUCUGCAAAUGCCUUUGUUAAAGUGCUCAUAUGUCAUAUCAACACGAUAGCAGGUUUUUGUUUCAUCUACUCCUCAUGAUGUUCCAGGAAGUGAUGAACAAAUUUGAUGGCUAAAUGGAUAGAUAUUAUUAUAGAUCAUGGUUUAUGUAUUGAUGAAUUAUUUUAUAUUUUAAAUCAUUUUGAUACUUAAUUAUACUUAUGACAAGAUAGAUAUGUUUAAGUUGGAUAUUGUAUCUAUUGAUGAAAUUAUUUGAAUAUGAUAAUUGUUUUAUGGUUCA